AUUGAACGCUGGCGGCAGGCCUAACACAUGCAAGUCGAGCGGAUGAAGGGAGCUUGCUCCUGGAUUCAGCGGCGGACGGGUGAGUAAUGCCUAAGAAUCUGCCUGGUAGUGGGGGAUAACGUCCGGAAACGGGCGCUAAUACCGCAUACGUCCUGAGGGAGAAAGUGGGGGAUCUUCGGACCUCACGCUAUCAGAUGAGCCUAGGUCGGAUUAGCUAGUUGGUGGGGUAAAGGCCUACCAAGGCGACGAUCCGUAACUGGUCUGAGAGGAUGAUCAGUCACACUGGAACUUAGACACGGUCCAGACUCCUACGGGAGGCAGCAGUGGGGAAUAUUGGACAAUGGGCGAAAGCCUGAUCCAGCCAUGCCGCGUGUGUUAAGAAGGUCUUCGGAUUGUAAAGCACUUUAAGUUGGGAGGAAGGGCAGUAAGUUAAUACCUUGCUGUUUUGACGUUACCAACAGAAUAAGCACCGGCUAACUUCGUG
rnacentral:rRNA from 1 species